rnacentral:misc_RNA from 1 species
AAGUCGUAACAAGGUUUCCGUAGGUGAACCUGCGGAAGGAUCAUUAACACGUAUCCACGUAUUACAUCAACUUAUCAACACCGUGAACUGUGCUCCCCGUGCUAACUGAUUGACCUAUGUCCCUUGCUGAUUGGGAUUGUUGUGGGUUGUGCGCCGUCAAAAAGCGUAUGACACAUCCCUUUCGGAUUAUGACUCCUCGAAGAGUCCGGUGGUCUUUCGCGGGCUUACUAACACUUACUGAGUCCAACCACUUUGGGCGAGGUUGAGGAGACCAUACCAAUUUCACCCUAUUUUGCAUAUUUGACUAAUUAUUCUAUAUUCUUCGGGAGAAAUCCUGUCGAAUCUCUAAGAUUUAUCUUAACUAAGCACAACUCUUAGCAAUGGAUAUCUUGGUUCUC